AACGAACGCUGGCGGCAGGCUUAACACAUGCAAGUCGAGCGCCCCGCAAGGGGAGCGGCAGACGGGUGAGUAACGCGUGGGAACCUACCCUUUUCUACGGAAUAACGCAUGGAAACGUGUGCUAAUACCGUAUACGCCCUUAGGGGGAAAGAUUUAUCGGAGAAGGAUGGGCCCGCGUUGGAUUAGCUAGUUGGUGGGGUAAAGGCCUACCAAGGCGACGAUCCAUAGCUGGUCUGAGAGGAUGAUCAGCCACAUUGGGACUGAGACACGGCCCAAACUCCUACGGGAGGCAGCAGUGGGAAUAUUGGACAAUGGGCGCAAGCCUGAUCCAGCCAUGCCGCGUGAGUGAUGAAGGCCCUAGGGUUGUAAAGCUCUUUCACCGGAGAAGAUAAUGACGGUAUCCGGAGAAGAAGCCCCGGCUAACUUCGUGCCAGCCGCCGCCGUAAUAC
rnacentral:rRNA from 1 species